CGGUGGAUCACUUGGCUCCGUGGGUCGAUGAAGAACGCAGCUAAUUGCGCGUCAACUUGUGAACUGCAGGACACAUGAACAUCGACAUUUCGAACGCACAUUGCGGUCCA
rnacentral:rRNA from 1 species